AACCCGGAAGCUAAGCCUCUCAGCGCCGAUGGUACUGCCCUGGAGACGGGGUGGGAGAGUAGGACGCCGCCGGAC
rnacentral:rRNA from 1 species